UCGGGAAUUUUGGGCAAUGGGCGAAAGCCUGAUCCAGCAAUGCCGCGUGUGUGAAGAAGGCCUUCGGGUUGUAAAGCACUUUUGUCCGGAAAGAAAUCCUCUGGGUUAAUACCUCGGGGGGAUGACGGUACCGGAAGAAUAAGCACCGGCUAACUACGUGCCAGCAGCCGCGGUAAUACGUAGGGUGCAAGCGUUAAUCGGAAUUACUGGGCGUAAAGCGUGCGCAGGCGGUUUUGUAAGACGGAUGUGAAAUCCCCGGGCUUAACCUGGGAACUGCAUUCGUGACUGCAAGGCUAGAGUAUGGCAGAGGGGGGUAGAAUUCCACGUGUAGCAGUGAAAUGCGUAGAGAUGUGGAGGAAUACCGAUGGCGAAGGCAGCCCCCUGGGCCAAUACUGACGCUCAUGCACGAAAGCGUGGGGAGCAAACA
rnacentral:rRNA from 1 species